rnacentral:rRNA from 1 species
AUACGUAGGGGGCGAGCGUUGUCCGGAAUGAUUGGGCGUAAAGGGCGCGUAGGCGGCCUGUUAAGUCUGGAGUGAAAGUCCUGUUUCCAAGAUGGGAAUUGCUUUGGAUACUGAUGGGCUUGAGUGCAGGAGAGGUUAUCGGAAUUCCCGGUGUAGCGGUGAAAUGCGUAGAGAUCGGGAGGAACACCAGUGGCGAAGGCGGGUAACUGGACUGCAACUGACGCUGAGGCGCGAAAGUGUGGGGAGCAAACAGGAUUAGAUACCCUGGUAGUCCACACUGUAAACGAUGAAUGCUAGGUGUAAGAGGUAUCGACCCCUUUUGUGCCGGAGUUAACACAAUAAGCAUUCCGCCUGGGGAGUACGGCCGCAAGGUUGAAACUCAAAGGAAUUGACGGGG